rnacentral:pre_miRNA from 1 species
UGGACAGAUUAUCGUAUUCGACUGUAUCACGGCGUGAAACGGGGGAUUACACUAUUUUAAACGGAAAGAAAGUGAAUCAAUUAACAUAAUCGCUCCU